rnacentral:lncRNA from 1 species
AUGAUAUCCUUUAUAGAUCAUUCCUGCAAUUCACUUACCUUAGCUGGAUUUUUCAACAUAAGAAAUUCUGACCAUAUUUACAUUCUUUUCCCAAAUUCUUUUUGUCAGAAACAUGUAACUGUGUUACAUAUGAAUUUCUGGUUACAGCUUGAUGCAACUGUUAGUGUAAAUGAUCUGCGGGCUCUAAACCUGCAUCAUGUAAACUAUAUACUUGAGUAG